UACGUAGGUGCAAGCGUUGUCCGGAAUUAUUGGGCGUAAAGAGCUCGUAGGCGGUGUGUCGCGUCGGCCGUGAAAACCUGCAGCUUAACUGUGGGCGUGCGGUCGAUACGGGCAUCACUGGAGUUCGGCAGGGGAGACUGGAAUUCCUGGUGUAGCGGUGAAAUGCGCAGAUAUCAGGAGGAACACCGAUGGCGAAGGCAGCUCGCUGGGACGGUACUGACGCUGAGGCGCGAAAGCGUGGGGAGCGAACAGG
rnacentral:rRNA from 1 species